rnacentral:rRNA from 1 species
UUCGCAAUGCCCGAAAGGGUGACGAAGCGACGCCGCGUGUGGGAAGAAGGCCUUCGGGUUGUAAACCACUGUCGGGAGUUAAGAAAUGCAAGGAUGUUAAUAGCGUUCUUGUUUGACUAAGGCUCCGGAGGAAGCCACGGCUAACUCUGUGCCAGCAGCCGCGGUAAUACAGAGGCGGCAAGCGUUGUUCGGAAUUAUUGGGCGUAAAGAGCACGUAGGCGGCUAUGUAAGUCGGUUGUGAAAGCCUUCCGCUCAACGGAAGAACAGCAUCCGAUACUACAUGGCUUGAGUGUGGGAGGGGAGAGUGGAACUUCUGGUGGAGCGGUGAAAUGCGUAGAUAUCAGAAGGAACGCCGGCGGCGAAAGCGGCUCUCUGGCCCAUAACUGACGCUGAGUGUGCGAAAGCUAGGGGAGCAAACGGGAUUAGAUACCCCGGUAGUCCUAGCCGUAAACGAUGGGCACUAAGUAGAGGGGUUUU